rnacentral:rRNA from 1 species
GAACUUAAGCAUAUCAGUAAGCAGAGGAAAAGAAAACAACUGUGAUUCCCUUAGUAACUGCGAGUGAAGCGGGAUAAGCCCAUCGUUUAAUCUUCCCGGACCAUGGACGGGACGAAAUGUAACGGUAUGGAUAGGUUCUCUACCAACAAGGUCUGAUCAAAGUCCUCCGGAUUGAGGUGCCAAAGAGGGUGACAGCCCCGUGUGUGAUUGGACCGAGUUGGGUAUGUGGCCGAUUCCGAGAGUCGGGUUGUUUGGGACUGCAACCUAAAGUAGGUGGUAAACUCCACCCAAGGCUAAAUAUUGACACGAAACCGAUAGCGAACAAGUACUGUGAAGGAAAGUUGAAAAGAACUCUGAAAAGAGAGUUAAAAGUACGUGAAACCGCUAACGGGGAAGCGGAAGGCAGUGUCGAGAUCGAGUGAGUGAGUCUGUUUAAGCUUUAUUCGAUUAAUGUUUAAGUGGGCUAGCUUUGCUUGAUGCGUCAGGACUAUUGGUGUGCGACGGUUCAAUCGUGAGCAUGGCUUUCACGGCGAAUAAUUUAUUAGGGUUCGUGGAUGCGGCUGGCGAUCCGCCUCGUGUGCUGAUAUGUGUAGUGGGGAGCGUUGGUGAUGUAUUGUCGGUUGGUGCGGUGUGGUGGUUCGUUCUGGUCACAGUGUGGCUACGUGCGGACAAGUCAUGUGGUAGUUCAACAACCAAUGCUAGCUCCUGGCGUGAUACCGAACUUUC